AUCUAAGCAGGGUUGUUGUUCAAACCUGCAAGUGUGUUUCAAAAUGUUUUCGUCAGGGCAAUUGUGUUACUGCCCCUUUUUUGGACAUCUGGUAGUGCUUAAAUGUGAGUAUAAAGCAGAGAUGAAGUGCACUUGGACUGCAGAAAGCAGCAGGAUGAAGAGUAAUGUGCAGCUAGGGCUGUUGUGUCUCAGCCUGCUCAUCUUCAGUCUUCAUGGAGAAGUUGUCGAGACAGAAUCGAGCAAACAAGUCCCCCCCUAUUUCGAAGAGCCGGAUCUUCAUCAGCUUGAGAUGUACAGAGUACGACGACAGACGGUCUCCACAGAGAAGGAAAAUCCAGCAAGAACAGUAGCUGUUUUGCCACCAAGUGAGAACCGCAAGACUAAGAGAACACGGCCACAUCCAGGAGGUCUCACUCCUUUAGGAGAACCAACGAUAUACGUCAAUCACCGCACCAAGAGACAGGAAAAAAGCAAGAAUAACAAAAGGAAAAUACGUCCCGGAAGUCAGAGCCUUUUAGUAAGCAGUGAAGUUUUACCCGUAUUCACUAUCCUCUGAUCAGCCUGCCAGCGCGCCAUUUAAACAUAUUCAUAGUAAUUUUAUAUUAAAGAAAUAGACUGACUUGCUUUACUUGAACUCAUCAUUUGCCUACCUCAAUUAAAGCGGCCCCAGCAGACUGCCAAUGUCAAGAGGGAUGACGAAUGAAAAAGUUAAAGCAUUAUAUGCGUUCAAGGCUCCUUCCCAGGUAACAUGUUGCAACGUAUUUACAUAAUAUGAAGGGGAAAAAAUGGUACUAAACAUACAUUAUUGUGGGUUCUCUCCUUACAGGUUCCCUGAAUCAGGAAAAAAGGAAUAUAUCACCAUGUUUCAUAAAGAGGGUUUCAGGCUCAGGUUCUGCUUGUGAUAAUCAUUUAUAUUUCUAUAGCUUUUCUUUUCCACGUAUAUUUUGGUUAAGUAAUAAUCUCUAUGGAAAAUAAAAUGUAUUUACUGAAUUCUCCCCCGUGUGUAUUUCGUAUUCGCAUCACUAGGGGGCAAUGUUUACCCAAGAGAUGAGCGCUCAAACCAGCUUGGCUUCUGUUUAAACGAAAUGUUUGAUAUCUGUUUAUCUUCAUCUAUUAAUUACAAUAAAGCAUUUGUCUUGAAAUGUCACUCUUUUAUUGUGUGGAAAACACUGUAGUCGACGAAUGGCUUUCUAUAAAGUUUUGGCUGUACUGCGUUUUUUUGUGUUGAUACUGUCAAGCAUAAACAGUCUAUGUGUUGACAGAUUCUGUGAGAUAUAAACUGCAUAACUAUCACUCCUCUUUAGUAUUUGAGUAGUUCUGCCAGUUAAAUGUGCCAGAAAUUAUCCUGAAAAGGCAUACAAAAUGGUAGGCCUAUGUUUUGUGCCAGGAAUUUGUCAAAACACAUUGGCGGUCCAAAGCAAAGAGAAAAGCAACACCCCUUCUUCCUUAUCUGCAUAAUCCUUGAUAAUAACAUAAAACUAUUUCCUACACGUUUCACGCUGUUGUUAUUUAAGAAUCUAAAAUGUUCCGGGAAAAAAAAAAACCUUUUAUAUGAGAUGGCCAAUGUAAUAACAUCGCUUCACACAUGAGCCCCAAAAAAGUAACCACAAGCAACCAUGCAAAAGCAACAAUUUGCACUUACACAGGUAUGUAAAAUGUAAGUAGUGCAGAUGUAAGCCAG
rnacentral:lncRNA from 1 species